UGUGUAAGACAUGUGGGCAUUAAGGUGCACAAUCGUGACUACAACCAUGCACCUUAGACAUUAAUAUGCAUAGUUACAUGUGGCUUGCCCCAUUUGAUAUGGAUCCUUUCAGGCCCCCUUUACAGUACAGCAGGGGUGCUGAUCACUAAAGGCCAUGCUUGUGAUCUGUUGUAUGGCUGAUUAUAUUUGUCCAAUUUCCUGUGCACUAGUUUGUACAGUCAAGGUGCACAAUUAUGGCCACGGCAAUGCACCUUGGACAUUAAUGUGCAUUACCACAUGAAGCUUGUCGCAUUUGGAUGAGCUCCUACUUCUAGACCAUAUGUGCAGUAUCAGUGGGCACUGAUCACCCAAGUCCAUAUUAUUGCCCUGUUACAUGGGUGACUAUAUUUGUCUAACUCAUCCUCUUUGAAUGAGAGCCUACUCUUAGACCCUAUACAGAUCAGACUCCUAUACAUAGGGGUACUGAUCACUAAGGCUCAUAUUUCAAAUCUGUUAUAUGGUGAUUACGACUCUUCAGUUUCAUGUGUGCUUGACAAGGAAGACUUUCCUGCCCGACUCCCAACCCAGUUUUCCUUUUGCUUCCAGCAAAGAUGCACACUCCAUAGGACCAUUAAAUUUGGACAGUGAAGGUGUACAAUUUUAAGUGGCCACAACAAUACACUUUGGACAUGGAUGUAUAUGACCGCAGGUGGUUCAUCCCAUUCUGCUGAGAUACCACUUAGACCCUUCUUGCAGUACAGCAAGGGGGUGCUGAUCGCCAAGGCCCAUCUUCUUGGCCUGUUAUGUGGCCCAUUAUAUUUGUUGAAUUUCCUGUGCACUGCACAAGAAGCCCUCCAUCCAGUCUUGCAUUCCCUUCUUAAAGAGAUGCCUACCCCAUAAAGUUGUUUUGUGGACAGUCAAGAUGCACAGUUUUAAGAGACCACAAUCCUGCAUCUUGGAUAGCAGUGUGCUUCACUGCACAUGGAUUGCCCCAUUUGGAUGAACUCCUUCUCUCAAGCCCUUGUCCUGUGCUGAUCAUCAAGGCCCAUAGUUUUGGUCCAUUAUGUAGGUGAUUAUAUUUGUCUGAAUUCCCAUGCAUUAGAUAAGGAGCUUCCCACACUCGGCACCUACCCCCCAGCCCGGGUUCUUUCGGCUCCAUAAGACUAUUACACGAGGACAGUCAACAUAUACAAUAAGUGCCACAACCAUGCACCUUGAAUAUUAAUGUACAUAAUUGUACAUGGCUCAUCCCAUUAAUUAAGAUCCUAUUCUCAGACCCCAAAUGCAGUACAGCAGGGGUGCUUGCCACCCAGGCCCAUGUUUGUCCUAUUAUGUGGGUGACUAUAUUGAUCUAAGUUCCUGUGCAUUAGAUAAGGUAACCUUCCCUGCCCCAGACCAAUGUCAUUUUCCUUUCCCUUUCAACAGAUAUGUCCACUCCAUAAGACCGUUAUGUGGACAAAGUGCAUAAUUGUAAUUGAUUACAACUAUGGCCUUAGGAUAUUUAUGUGCAUAACUGCAUGUGGCUUGUCCCAUGUGAAUAAGAUUAGGCUUGCAGACUCCUUUUGCUGUACAGCAGGAGUGCCAAUCAUUAAGAUCUCUUUGUUUGUCCAUGUUCCUGUACAGUAGAUAAUACUAAUUGCCUACUACUUUAAUUUCUUAUUAUUUGUACAAAAUACAUGGUUUUAAUUGAUCACAGCUGGAUCCCUUUGGCAUUAAUGUGUAUAAUCAUGACAUGGUUCAUCCUGUUGAACCAAGAUCCUGCCCUCUUUGUCUCUUACAAUGCACAAGGUUUGCUGACCACUAAACUUCAUUUUCUUGAUUUGUUAAUGCUCACAAUACAUUUGUCUGGGUUCUUGUCCAUUAAGCAUGGAUAUCCCACUUCUGAGUUCCUAUGCCAUCCAGUAGGUGGUUCCCGCUGCUUAAGACCUAUGCAUUGGGACGUAAUUUCAGGUGUCCACGUCCUUGUCACUUCCAGGACUGUGGUCCCUCCUUUGCAUUACAUCAGGGGAUACUCUUCUCCUACAAAGGCACAUAAUUGAAAUUUACUUUUGCCUUUAUCAGCCGCCUAGUCUUGUCCCCCUCGCCUUUCCUUUGCAGUACAGUAAGGUGUACUGCUCAACCAAAGCCCUCUUUCCUUGGGAGUAUUAAUAAGCGCACUUAAUAAGGGUCCUACCAAUUUCCUCAGCAUUGUCAGCAGAUGGAAUUCACUACUCAAGACUCUGCUCAGAAUGUUGACAUUCAUUACAGUGUCCUGAGUGUAUCCUAUACCAGAACUGCUUUAGAGCAGUGUGAAGCUAUGCACUCAGUGCCUCUUCUUUUGGAUUUAAUGAUCACUAAUGCAAUUGUGCUUCUCUUUAGGUUUAGGAUUUCACUUCCUUACUCCCACUCCCUUUCUAUCAGGGCCAUGAUAACUUUGGAUUGGUCCCUUUCUCAUGAAUAUUAAUGCCAUAGUUGGUCUGUGGACCUGGGGAGUAGAUAAGAACCCUGUACUCCUACCACUGCCUUUUGACUGUUGCUGAGGAGUGCUAACCAUAAGCCUCAGCUCUUGGGUAGUUAAUUUGCCAUAAUAACAAAUAUUGAGAGUACAAUUCAUUUAGAUGGAAACCUGCAUGCUCUUCAUGUGCAUUAAUGGGCACUGGUCAACUUUGACUCCUUGAAAUAUUACUCAAUAUUUCUGUUAGACGAGGGUACUAAACCCUCACAUCACCUGUGUAUUACUUAAAAGUCUGUUGGCCACUCAAAACCUUACCUUCUGGGACUGUUAGUAGGCACAGUGAAAAUUAUCAAUGGUUCCCUCCCUCUCAUAUUGUUAAGAAAACUCUUUCCCCACCCCCAUUUCCCAUUUGCCCAUCAAACAAUGACCUAUACUUCCCUUCCCAAGUAGCCACAGUCUUACCAUCUAUGCAAGAUUUUCCCUCUCCAUGGCCCCUUUUGUGCCCUUGAAUCCUUCUUAUGGAUUAUUAAUAUUCACAGUCCUGCCAUUGGGUAAGGUUAUGCUCCUUCCACCUGCCCCAUGCCCAGUCCCUUUUGUCUCCUUUGCUGUGUAAUGUUGACUGAGCAAGAUCCUCUCUAGGACUAAAUCCCAUAUGUCACUGGUUUACCCACCUUAUAUUGCCCUAAUGGCUCAGUUGCACUUGCCUUGGUCCCACCCAUCAAGCCUCAACCUCUCCACUUACCUUGCAUAUGCUUUUCAGCAGUGCUGACACCCAAAGCCCUUUCUGUGUUACUAAUGAACACAAUAUUGAUUGUCCCACUUUACAACCCAUCACUUUAAGAACUCUAGACCACUUUGAUGUGUCUGUGCGGCACUGAUGAACAAAAGCAGGCCUGGAACUAUGUGGAUGAACCUUCAUUAUUUUCUUCAUUAUUUUCUUCAGUUUCCAAUGAUCCCAAUUCUAAUUAUUGUCACAUUCUGGGAACAGGAGUCAUUCCUUCCCAGCUCUAUUAUGGCUUUAUUGUGUAAAAUAUCCACAGCACAGCAGACUCCAUGAGCUGGAAUGCCCCCUUUUAUCUUGUGCUUUUAAUUAUACAAUGAUUAAUUGAUUAGAGGAGAGUUUGGAUGUUUUAUCUGCAUUCUUCUUCCAGAGAAGAUUGCCUGGUUAAAAAUCUCUGUAUUGUUGUGGUUCAGUGCUGACUGCUAGGAUGCAAUGAGAAAAGUUGUCAGUUGCUUGGUUUCUUAAGAAAGAUAUAUGGUUUGGAAGGUGGUAUUGAUAACCUGGUCAUAAUUGUUUUCAAAGCCAGUCCAUUUAUGUUAUGUACUUAAUGACCAGUGUCUCAUUUUAUCGAGGAUGGUGGGUCUGUGGAUAGACCGCUGCUACUUUUGUGUUGUAAUUAUGAUAUUACCAAAGGUGUUCUAGAGUGGAUAUCCUAAGAUCAGUAUCUUUGUUUGGCUAUAUUAUCAUUUUAAAACCGUUUCUUGUUGGCCUUUUAUCACCAAUUGCUUUUAGAAAAAUGAUCAAAAUGUGCUAAUCCAUCAAUUUCAUCAUAUGAAGCCUCAGACUCUACUUGCUUCAAGAAGGUGGCUAUAAAAAUGAUUAAAUGAGAUAACAUGCUGAGAUGCUUCUGAAAACCAUAGGUCACCUUGUUUGAUUAUUCCUUUAUAUAAAAUGGAUCACUUAGUUCUGCUAAUAAUUUGAGUUAGAUUGAAGCAAGCAUCACACUGAGGUGAAUUAACUAUAGAAAUGAUGAAAUCGGUUUCUCCAUUUUAUUAAAAGAAAUUAGCUGAUGAUUCUUAAUGUAGAUCUCGGCAGUAGGAUAGCUGCCCUGUAAGAAGGAAUAAUAUCCUAGCAUCUAGCGUACGGCGUUGUUGUGGUAAAGGUGUGUUUAAUGUGAAACUGCUGAAGUUCAUAGCUAGCUGGUCAUCAUGACAACUGCUCUUGAAUCACUGAAAACGGAUACUAUGACUCUAAGAAGGAUGUCAAAAGGUUGACUCAGCUCAGCUUGCAGUUUGUACAGCUAACUCCUUGGACAACGUUAAGAAGAGUCUUUGGCCCUUAAGGAUUCUGCCUUUCCCAACCAUGUGAGACCUGAGGACGCCAAGCAGCUGCAAAAAGACUUCAAGCACCGUACCGCAGAACUUCCCUUUUGAUACUCUGGACAGGGUACAAUUAUUCUACUUGCACUGGAUAACUUGCGGGCUGCCUAGAGAAGAAGAUCUUCUUGGAAGAAUGGGCUUGUUGCUUUACAGUGCUAGUGAUCCAUUCCCUUUGACGAUCCUUAGGUGGAGAUGGGGCAUGAGGAUCCUCCAGGGGAAAAGCUCAUUAUCACUGGGCAACAAGCCUAGGUAAUGAGGUUCUAGCAAGACACUUUCCUGGGCCUAGAUAAGAAGAUGAAAUCCAAAAGACAAUCACCGCCGUGAAGGUUAGGAGAACAGAGACAAUAGCUGCCUCACCUUGGGAUGUUGCUGUUUGAGAAGAUAAACUGGGGUUGUAUUGUUUUGUGCUGUGCCUGCUGAUUUACAAAAGAAAACCUGGAUCUAUAACUGGGCAAGAUCUAAGCAACAAUGUCCCUGUGUCCUCCAGCUCGUGAGUGUUACUUUCAUGGCUGCCAAAUCAUCUAUUCCAAAAUCAGUGCAGAGAACUGGGUCUUCAGCUGGAUCGAGAAAGUUGGACAUACUGGAAGAAGCUUUCUGACCUGCAGAUCAACAUGCUUGGCAAUCUAGUAUUUUAAAGUAGCAAAAUGAAAAUGUCUUUGCUUAUUUCUGACUUCUAAGUGUGCAUUUCUAUUCAUCUGUUUUCCUUCUUGAGCAUCUUUGUUGUUCUCUAAAGUGUGUGCUACCCAUUUCCGUGUGUCUGUUGCUAAUUUCUUCUAUGUGUGCUUUUGCUUCACUUUCUCUUUUCGUCCUUCAGUGUGGAGUCUGCUUUGUCUGUGUUGUAUCUCUAAUGUUUUCCUUCUUGUUGCUACUACUCUUUGCUCUACUACAUGUGAUUCUUAUUUCACCAUGUCCUUCAUCUGCUUCUCUACUCUGAGUCAUGUGUUGUGUGCUUUUUUUAUGCCACUUUCUCCUUCUGCCUACCUAUCUUGGUCUUUGUCAUCUCUUGUUUGUCGCCCCUUUCGCUUCUUGUUGACUUGAUGUUUUGUUUCACGUUUCUCUGAUUCUGAACCCUUUUCUGAUGCUUCUCAUCUUGCAUUUCUCUUUUCUACAUUUCCUUUUCGCCGCACUCUGGCGGUUUUCUCUCUUUUUCUUCCUUUGUGUGCCUCAGUGUCUCUUUGAUGUCUCUAAGUUUCUACCUGAGCAUCCAUCUUUUUGCUUCUUUGUGUUUCUUCUCUGCUUUUCCCUCUCUGCUGAGCUUUAUUUCAGCCUCUUUGUCUUUGUCUGCUCCUCUGAUUGCAUGUACUCUUCUCUCUUUGGGUCUUUCUUUGCCUAUGUGCCAUAUGUGUGUGUCAUGUGACUGAGGGCGUUCCUAGCCCUUCCUAAUAGGUGCAGAAUACCAACUGCCAAAAGAAACAGUGCAGAAGCUCUUCCUUUGAUACCAAAACACGGCAUGACGGUCAGAACUGAGGUCAAACCUGAGAGCUAAGGUGGACGAAGAUGGAAAGCACAUAAUGGAUAGAAGGCCCAAGUGAAAGACAUUGUUUGACCCUUGAGCACUAAGGUGGAAAAGUCAUAUCUGAAAGAGACAGAAGCCUUAGGCCUGAAACCAAACAGAACCCUUGAGAACUAACAUGUAUAGGAAGUGGUCUGAGUUGGACAGAUGGCCAAAGUCCUAGGAUGGAGGCGAAAGGACUAAGAGCUGGGAUGGACACAUGGAAAACCUAAAAACUGAGAUGUGUGAUACAUAGUGCAAGACCCGAGAUGAACUCACGGUUAUAAUUUGAAAAUAUCUACGACCCAAGGAUGGAAGGCUGCAGGCACACCUCAACCAGGACUCAAGCCUCUGCAGAUGGAUGGAAGACUCAAGAGAAACUGAUCUGCAGACCAAAGUUUCUGGCAUCACUGUCACUGCUGAUUAAACCAGCGUAAAAGAACAUGCUAUCUGCGUUAGUUUCGCAAAUGAAGUUAUAAAGGAAAUGCCUGCAUCUCUUCCCUUCUGCUUCUAAGAAAUCUUGCCCAAAGGCUAAUAUAAAUACAAAAACCUAGACUUGUGAAUUCAUGUAAAAAAACAGACUGUUUUGCAGAUCCCAAAAUCUUGCUCUGUGGGUGACCAACAAAAACCAAUUUGGAGACAUCACACAUCAUAUGGCAAAAACUGGGGAGUUGCAUACUGUAAAAUAAAAAGUGCUG